rnacentral:rRNA from 1 species
GAGGGAUAUUGGUCAAUGGGCGCAAGCCUGAACCAGCGACGCCGCGUGGGUGAAGAAGGUCUUCGGAUCGUAAAGCCCUUUUCCCACUGAAGAGGAAGGACGGUAGGUGGGGAAGAAGUCUCGGCUAACUACGUGCCAGCAGCCGCGGUAAAACGUAGGAGACAAGCGUUAUCCGGAGUUACUGGGCGUAAAGGGCGUGCAGGUGGCGUCUUAAGUCUGUUGUGAAAGCGCCUGGCUUAACCGGGCGAGGCCAAUGGAGACUGAGAGGCUGGAGGACGGCGGAGGGGUGUGGAAUUCCGGGUGUAGUGGUGAAAUGCGUAGAGAUCCAGAGGAACACCAGAGGCGAAGGCGGCACUCUAAGCCGUACCUGACACUGAGACGCGACAGCACGGGGAGCAAACG